CCUUUUGAACUUUGACGCUCUAAUAUAGGAAAAGGACUAAAGAAACUGUAGAGAAACAUACAAACAUGAAGCAUGGCUGGGUAUAUAUAAUGAUAUUUCUGUAACCAGUUUUCUUCCACAAGGCAACAUGAGGCUUGAGCUGAAGAGAGGCCUCUUCCUAGCUUUUCUUGUACUUAUCACCUUAUUUCUUUCAUGGAGCUUGUUUUUCACCGGUGAAAAAAUAGAGAAGUUAACUUACGUAAGAGAUGAGGAAAAAUUAUAUGAAGCGGUCAUUGUAAAACAAAUCAAUAGCCCACCUUUACCAUGGGCAAAAGACCCACAUGAGCGAGGGCUAAGACAGGAACUCAAGAGGAAAAGACCUCAACCACCAUCACCACGUCGUCCAGGGAACCCAGGGCCAAACCCCUAGCUAGCAUGCAAAUACCAAUGUCAAAAGAGAAUUAAUAUUGCACAUUGGUAUUUUGGUUCACUUGGAAGAUUACAAUCAUCUCUAGAAAAUGCGAGAUAUAUAUUAUCAUGUUUGACUUGUUAUUUGUGUAAUAUAUAACACAUUAUUAGAAUGAAAAUUAGGGCUGGUUGAACCCUAGGCCACUUAGUCAAUGGCCUAAGAUCCUAAAUAGAAGAAGGCCACCUAUGUAAUAAAUUAUAUUUUAUCUAUCUUUCUAAUAGUGUGGCAAAAAAAAAAAAAA